AGUAGUUUGAUCAUGGCUCAGGACGAACGCUGGCGGCGUGCUUAACACAUGCAAGUCGAACGGUAAGGCCCUUCGGGGUACACGAGUGGCGAACGGGUGAGUAACACGUGGGUGAUCUGCCCUGCACUUCGGGAUAAGCCUGGGAAACUGGGUCUAAUACCGGAUAGGACCAUGGACUUCACGGUUUGUGGUGGAAAGCUUUUGCGGUGUGGGAUGGGCCCGCGGCCUAUCAGCUUGUUGGUGGGGUAAUGGCCUACCAAGGCGACGACGGGUAGCCGGCCUGAGAGGGUGUCCGGCCACACUGGGACUGAGAUACGGCCCAGACUCCUACGGGAGGCAGCAGUGGGGAAUAUUGCACAAUGGGCGCAAGCCUGAUGCAGCGACGCCGCGUGAGGGAUGACGGCCUUCGGGUUGUAAACCUCUUCAAUAGGGACGAAGCGCAAGUGACGGUACCUAUAGAAGAAGCACCGGCCAACUACGUG
rnacentral:rRNA from 1 species